AAUGAAUUUUACUUUUUAGUAAAAAGGCUAAAAUACAUCUUUUAGACAAGAAGACCCUAUAAAACUUUAUAUUUUUUUUGUUUUUGAUUAAAGGGAAAAAUAUUACACUGGGGCGGUGAAGAAAUUAGGCUUUCUUUGAAAAAAUAAACGAACUUGUUUUAAUACCUAGAAAUUUUAAAAUAGAAAUAAGUUACUUUAGGGAUAACAGCUUAAUUCACUUAGAAAGUUCUAAUUGACAAGUGAGUUUAUGACCUCGAUGUUGAAUUAAAAUACCUUUUGUUGCGCAAAAGCUUAAAAAGGAGGUCUGUUCGACCUUUAAAAUUUUCCAUGAUCUGAGUUCAAAUCGA
rnacentral:rRNA from 1 species